rnacentral:rRNA from 1 species
CCUACGGGGGGCUGCAGUGGGGAAUAUUGCACAAUGGGCGCAAGCCUGAUGCAGCCAUGCCGCGUGUGUGAAGAAGGCCUUCGGGUUGUAAAGCACUUUCAGCGGGGAGGAAGGCGGUGAGGUUAAUAACCUCAUCGAUUGACGUUACCCGCAGAAGAAGCACCGGCUAACUCCGUGCCAGCAGCCGCGGGUAAUACGGAGGGUGCAAGCGUUAAUCGGAAUUACUGGGCGUAAAGCGCACGCAGGCGGUCUGUCAAGUCGGAUGUGAAAUCCCCGGGCUCAACCUGGGAACUGCAUUCGAAACUGGCAGGCUAGAGUCUUGUAGAGGGGGGUAGAAUUCCAGGUGUAGCGGUGAAAUGCGUAGAGAUCUGGAGGAAUACCGGUGGCGAAGGCGGCCCCCUGGACAAAGACUGACGCUCAGGUGCGAAAGCGUGGGGAGCAAACAGGAUUAGAUACCCGGGUAGUC